rnacentral:rRNA from 1 species
UGGGGAAUUUUGCACAAUGGGCGCAAGCCUGAUGCAGCCAUGCCGCGUGUAUGAAGAAGGCCUUCGGGUUGUAAAGUACUUUCAGCGGGGAGGAAGGGAGUAAAGUUAAUACCUUUGCUCAUUGACGUUACCCGCAGAAGAAGCACCGGCUAACUCCGUGCCAGCAGCCGCGGUAAUACGGAGGGUGCAAGCGUUAAUCGGAAUUACUGGGCGUAAAGCGCACGCAGGCGGUUUGUUAAGUCAGAUGUGAAAUCCUCGGGCUCAACCUGGGGACUGCAUCGGAUGCUGGCAAGCUUGGGGCUCGUAGAGGGGGGUAGAAUUCCAGGUGUAGCGGGGAAAUGCGUAGAGAUCUGGAGGAAUACCGGUGGCGAAGGCGGCCCCCUGGACGAAGACUGACGCCCAGGUGCGAAAGCGUGGGGAGCAAACAGG